GACGAACGCUGGCGGCGUGCUUAACACAUGCAAGUCGAGCGGUAAGGCCCUUUCGGGGGUACACGAGUGGCGAACGGGUGAGUAACACGUGGGUGACCUGCCCUCAGCUCUGGGAUAAGCCUGGGAAACUGGGUCUAAUACUGGAUAUGACUCCACGGUGCAUGUCGUGGGGUGGAAAGCCUUGUGCGGCUGAGGAUGGGCCCGCGGCCUAUCAGCUUGUUGGUGGGGUGANGGCCUACCAAGGCGACGACGGGUAGCCGGCCUGAGAGGGCGACCGGCCACACUGGGACUGAGACACGGCCCAGACUCCUACGGGAGGCAGCAGUGGGGAAUCUUGCGCAAUGGGCGAAAGCCUGACGCAGCGACGCCGCGUGAGGGAUGACGGCCU
rnacentral:rRNA from 1 species